UCCAGCCUCUGCAUGCAGACACUGAACUUUCUCCAUAGAGAUGCAUUAAUUCAAUUCAUUUCUGUGAGGCUGUUUGGCUUGCUCUGCCUCUGCCCCUGAUCUCCUUCCUUGACAGUCUCAGCCAAUUCAAUGGAAAAGCAUUGUUAUUGGCUCAUAAAAUCACUUCUGAUAUCAGCCAAGCAGGCAGAUUAGAGGCAGCAGCUGCAGAC